rnacentral:rRNA from 1 species
GGUAGAGCACUGUUUCGGCAAGGGGGUCAUCCCGACUUACCAACCCGAUGCAAACUGCGAAUACCGGAGAAUGUUAUCACGGGAGACACACGGCGGGUGCUAACGUCCGUCGUGAAGAGGGAAACAACCCAGACCGCCAGCUAAGGUCCCAAAGUCAUGGUUAAGUGGGAAACGAUGUGGGAAGGCCCAGACAGCCAGGAUGUUGGCUUAGAAGCAGCCAUCAUUUAAAGAAAGCGUAAUAGCUCACUGGUCGAGUCGGCCUGCGCGGAAGAUGUAACGGGGCUAAACCAUGCACCGAAGCUGCGGCAGCGACACUAUGUGUUGUUGGGUAGGGGAGCGUUCUGUAAGCCUGUGAAGGUGUACUGUGAGGUAUGCUGGAGGUAUCAGAAGUGCGAAUGCUGACAUAAGUAACGAUAAAGCGGGUGAAAAGCCCGCUCGCCGGAAGACCAAGGGUUCCUGUCCAACGUUAAUCGGGGCAGGGUGAGUCGACUCCUAAGGCGAGGCCGAAAGGCGUAGUCGAUGGGAAACAGGUUAAUAUUCCUGUACUUGGUGUUACUGCGAAGGGGGGACGGAGAAGGCUAUGUUGGCCGGGCGACGGUUGUCCCGGUUUAAGCGUGUAGGCUGGUUUUCCAGGCAAAUCCGGAAAACUAAGGCUGAGGCGUGAUGACGAGGCACUACGGUGCUGAAGCAACAAAUGCCCUGCUUCCAGGAAAAGCCUCUAAGCAUCAGGUAACAUCAAAUCGUACCCCAAACCGACACAGGUGGUCAGGUAGAGAAUACCAAGGCGCUUGAGAGAACUCGGGUGAAGGAACUAGGCAAAAUGGUGCCGUAACUUCGGGAGAAGGCACGCUGAUAUGUAGGUGAAGUCCCUCGCGGAUGGAGCUGAAAUCAGUCGAAGAUACCAGCUGGCUGCAACUGUUUAUUAAAAACACAGCACUGUGCAAACACGAAAGUGGACGUAUACGGUGUGACGCCUGCCCGGUGCCGGAAGGUUAAUUGAUGGGGUCAGCGCAAGCGAAGCUCUUGAUCGAAGCCCCGGUAAACGGCGGCCGUAACUAUAACGGUCCUAAGGUAGCGAAAUUCCUUGUCGGGUAAGUUCCGACCUGCACGAAUGGCGUAAUGAUGGCCAGGCUGUCUCCACCCGAGACUCAGUGAAAUUGAACUCGCUGUGAAGAUGCAGUGUACCCGCGGCAAGACGGAAAGACCCCGUGAACCUUUACUAUAGCUUGACACUGAACAUUGAGCCUUGAUGUGUAGGAUAGGUGGGAGGCUUUGAAGUGUGGACGCCAGUCUGCAUGGAGCCGACCUUGAAAUACCACCCUUUAAUGUUUGAUGUUCUAACGUUGACCCGUAAUCCGGGUUGCGGACAGUGUCUGGUGGGUAGUUUGACUGGGGCGGUCUCCUCCUAAAGAGUAACGGAGGAGCACGAAGGUUGGCUAAUCCUGGUCGGACAUCAGGAGGUUAGUGCAAUGGCAUAAGCCAGCUUGACUGCGAGCGUGACGGCGCGAGCAGGUGCGAAAGCAGGUCAUAGUGAUCCGGUGGUUCUGAAUGGAAGGGCCAUCGCUCAACGGAUAAAAGGUACUCCGGGGAUAACAGGCUGAUACCGCCCAAGAGUUCAUAUCGACGGCGGUGUUUGGCACCUCGAUGUCGGCUCAUCACAUCCUGGGGCUGAAGUAGGUCCCAAGGGUAUGGCUGUUCGCCAUUUAAAGUGGUACGCGAGCUGGGUUUAGAACGUCGUGAGACAGUUCGGUCCCUAUCUGCCGUGGGCGCUGGAGAACUGAGGGGGGCUGCUCCUAGUACGAGAGGACCGGAGUGGACGCAUCACUGGUGUUCGGGUUGUCAUGCCAAUGGCACUGCCCGGUAGCUAAAUGCGGAAGAGAUAAGUGCUGAAAGCAUCUAAGCACGAAACUUGCCCCGAGAUGAGUUCUCCCUGACUCCUUGAGAGUCCUGAAGGAACGUU